rnacentral:rRNA from 1 species
GGGAUUCCCUUAGUAACGGCGAGCGAAAAGGGAGCGGCCCAGUAUGUAAAUCUCCAGCUUUCCGCUGGCGAAUUGUAGUCUGGAGUAGCGGCUCUUGGAAACCGGUCGGCCCAAGCAUCUUGGAAUAGAUCGCCGCAGAGGGUGAGAGCCCCGUAGGUGGGCCGGAAUCCUUCACAGAGCGCUCACGGAGAGUCGGGUUGUUUGGGAAUGCAGCCCCAAUUGGGUGGUAAACCCCAUCUAAGGCUAAAUACCUGUGGGAGACCGAUAGCAAAAAAGUACCUCGAGGGAACGAUGAAAAGACCGCUGGCAAGCGAGUGAAAGAGUGCAUGAAAUUGUAUAGUGGGAAGGGAUGGCCUUGGCGUGCUGCCCCCGGGUAAACACUGCUCGUGGAGCUCUUGAAUACACUGGGGGCUGGCUGGUGCCAACACCCGCGCUCGCAAACUCCCAAACUAAGGUGUUUGGUACCUCGAGCGCGGGUGUUGAGGCUGAUCGUUGCUUUGUGCAUAACUGCAACCGACAUAGCACCAGCUGGAGCCUGUCCAUCUA